UGCUAGGAUUAUAGGCGUGAGCCACCACACCCAGCCCCAAAAUUUUUGUUCUUUUCAAGAUGUUGAGAAAAAAACUGUUCACUUUCUUUAAAUACCAUUAAUAUGAUUAUUAAAACAUUAAUAAAUGUUGAAUUAAUUUCUUCCUAAAUAAUCAUGGAGCAAAAUAUUGAGGUACUCAGGAAUGGAAUUUUAAGCAGCUUCUAUAAUUUGGUCUACUUUUCUAUCAAGAUCUCAUAAAAUUUGCCACCAUUAAAAAGCAGCUAGUAUCAUACUAGGAGUGCCUAGCGGAAUUUUAAUGUAACAUUCCCCAUCACAUUUUCUUUCUUACUCCUUCAGUCAUUCCGUUGUCUUAUUUGUGUAUAUGUCUGUCAUUCUCUAACAGCAGAAACCGUGCCUUUUUUUUCCUCCUCUAUUCCAUGACAGAAACCCAGACAAUUUGCUAAAUAGAAAACUUUUAAUGAAGGGGUACCCAGUUUAGAGAUAAAAAUAUAAUAUGCCAUCUCCAGAAAGAACAAUUCAAAGUAUAAAUAAUCAGAAUUACAUGAACUUGCAAUUUGUCAUAUUUGGUUCUAACUAGUUUAAUUAAUUAAACUAAUUCCUAUACUUUGCCGUCACUCUGGUUAAGGUUUGGCCAGUUUUGCAUAUACUUGCAUGGCAAAAUGCAUGACAAUAGAUAUUUAAGUAUUUUUCUCAUUUUUUUUUUAAAUAUGGGGUUGGAAAAUACUAACAUUUUAAUUUAUACUGUUUUUCCCUUCUGCUCACUGAAAAGAAUUAAUGAAAAUCAUUCAGGAAUAUAUUCCACAGAAAAGGUUUGCAAAAACUUGAGAUAUAUUUUAGUAGAAUUUGAGUUUGUCCACAUUCUUUGGCUGUUCAAUUUAGUGUGUAACAUAUUUGAAUAUUCAAUUAUUAUAGUUAAUAUAUUUUUUCUUUUAUAUGAGAAUUUUAAUGACAGAACUCUACUGAUAAUCCUUCUCAUAGGACAGUGGCAUACUAUCACAUCUAUCAAAGAAAAUGUGAAAAGUGCCUGAAAUGUGCUACUGAUCAACCAAUAGCAGUGAAAACUCACAUAUGGUACACAUUCCAUUUGGAUCACAAAAGCAAAGCCAAACAUCUCGGUAAGUGGGAGGAAGUAACUGAUGAACUGACUAAAGGAAAAACAGAGACUCUGGGCUUGGUCAUGUGACUUACUUCAGUCAAUGGGACAUUAGCAAGAAUAAUAAAGCAGGAGUUUGAUAAGAAUUUGUACAUUUUGGCUUAUCAUCUUAAAAUAUUCUUGGAAGCCAGAUGCAAUAAGAAGUCCAGCCACCCUAAGACCACUAUAUGUGAGGAAACCCAAGCUAGUCAUGUGGAAAAAACAUGUAAACAGAGGGAUGCCUGGCUAGUCUCCAGCUUAGUCAUGGGAGUGAAGAAGCCACUUUGGAUGUUCCAGCCUUGGAAGAUACUUCCUGGAACCGAAGAAACACCUUGCUGAGCCCAGCACAGACUGCAGAAUCAUGAGAAAUAAUAGUUGGUUUAAGCCACUACAUUUUGGAGUGGUUUGUUAUAUAACUAAAACAAGCAAUGAUAGAAAAGUCUAGCAAACCAAUUAGUUAUUUGUAAGAAGUAAAAAUGUUAUAGAAACCUAA
rnacentral:lncRNA from 1 species